rnacentral:rRNA from 1 species
CCUACGGGAGGCAGCAGUAGGGAAUCUUUCACAAUGGGCGAAAGCCUGAUGGAGCAACGCCGCGUGCAGGAUGAAGGCCUUCGGGUUGUAAACUGCUUUUAUAAGCGAGAAAUAUGAUGGUAACUUAUGAAUAAGGAUCGGCUAACUACGUGCCCGCAGCCGCGGUCAUACGUAGGAUCCGAGCAUUAUCCGGAGUGACUGGGUGUAAAGAGUUGCGUAGGUGGCAUAAGAAGUAGCUAGUGAAAUCUGGUGGCUCAACCAUUCAGACUAUUAGCUAAACUGUUAAGCUCGAGACCGUUAGGGGUAACUGGAAUUUCUAGUGUAGGAGUGAAAUCCGUAGAUAUUAGAAGGAACACCAAUAGCGUAGGCAGGUUGCUGGGACGGUUCUGACACUAAGGCACGAAAGCGUAGGGAGCAAACGGGAUUAGAUACCCCGGUAGUC